UGGUCCCUCCCUCAAACUCUGACCUUCUGGGCUUUUCCCAUCUGUCUCUGGUCUCUCAUCCUCCCCAGGAAAUGGCACAGCACACUGAUUUAGAGCACACGUUAUUGUGCUUCUUAGUCAUUGUUGUGCAGUCUUGGACAGGUGACUUUACCACAUGCCUCAAUUUCCUCAUCUAACAGAAAACUCCACAGCAUUAAUGUGAAAAUUAAUAAGUCAGAGUUUUGUUAUAGUGGGUGUGACCCAUUAGGAAUUCCAAUUCAUGGGUUGCAACCAGCAUUUUAAACAAUGAAACAGAACAGAAGAUAUAAGAGUUUAUCCCAUACUAGAAGAUGUCAUACUGUUUUGAGAAACUUGUUUCACACACAUGUGCACACACACAUACAUAUAAGGUGUCCCCCAAAACUGUAUGCACAGUUUGAAUGAUUAUAAAGUCAGUGUUUAUUAACGUACAGUCAUUUACAAAAUUGAAAAAAUCUAUAGAAAUGCAUAUAUAUAUAUAUAUAUAUAUAUAUUUUUUUUUUUUUUAUUUAUUUUUUUUUUUUUUUUUGGUCAAUGUCCUGUUUUUAAACUGAUGACUAUUCUGGUCCAGGCACUACUGAUAAUGUGAACAUCAAGAAUCAUUUCAUUCAAUAUUUGUGUGCCCACAGUUCGUUGACUGUUGCUGGUUUCGUACCAUAAAUUUUAUCUUUUAUGUAUCCCCCUCCCCCCCAACAAACAAACAAACAAA